rnacentral:rRNA from 1 species
AGGGUUUGAUCAUGGCUCAGAUUGAACGCUGGCGGCGUGCUUAACACAUGCAAGUCGAACGAACCUUCGGGUUAGUGGCGGACGGGUGAGUAACGCGUGAGAAUCUGCCCUCAGGAGGGGGAUAACGGUUGGAAACGACCGCUAAUACCCCAUAUGCCUAUUGGUGAAAUGAAUUUCGCCUGAGGAUGAGCUCGCGUCUGAUUAGCUAGUUGGUGAGGUAAUGGCUCACCAAGGCUUCGAUCAGUAGCUGGUCUGAGAGGAUGAUCAGCCACACUGGGACUGAGACACGGCCCAGACUCCUACGGGAGGCAGCAGUGGGGAAUUUUCCGCAAUGGGCGAAAGCCUGACGGAGCAACGCCGCGUGAGGGACGAAGGCCUCUGGGCUGUAAACCUCUUUUCUCAAGGAAGAAGAUAUGACGGUACUUGAGGAAUAAGCCACGGCUAAUUCCGUGCCAGCAGCCGCGGUAAUACGGGAGUGGCAAGCGUUAUCCGGAAUUAUUGGGCGUAAAGCGUCCGCAGGCGGCUUUUCAAGUCUGCUGUUAAAGCGUGGAGCUUAACUCCAUCAUGGCAGUGGAAACUGAAAGGCUUGAGUAUGGUAGGGGCAGAGGGAAUUCCCGGUGUAGCGGUGAAAUGCGUAGAUAUCGGGAAGAACACCAGUGGCGAAGGCGCUCUGCUGGGCCAUUACUGACGCUCAUGGACGAAAGCCAGGGGAGCGAAAGGGAUUAGAUACCCCUGUAGUCCUGGCCGUAAACGAUGAACACUAGGUGUCGGGGGAAUCGACCCCUUCGGUGUCGUAGCUAACGCGUUAAGUGUUCCGCCUGGGGAGUACGCACGCAAGUGUGAAACUCAAAGGAAUUGACGGGGGCCCGCACAAGCGGUGGAGUAUGUGGUUUAAUUCGAUGCAACGCGAAGAACCUUACCAGGGUUUGACAUCCUGCGAACCUCUUAGAAAUUUGAGGGUGCCUUCGGGAAUGCAGUGACAGGUGGUGCAUGGCUGUCGUCAGCUCGUGUCGUGAGAUGUUGGGUUAAGUCCCGCAACGAGCGCAACCCACGUUUUUAGUUGCCAGCAUUUAGUUGGGCACUCUAGAAAGACCGCCGGUGAUAAACCGGAGGAAGGUGUGGAUGACGUCAAGUCAUCAUGCCCCUUACACCCUGGGCUACACACGUACUACAAUGCUACGGACAAAGGGCAGCAAACUCGCGAGAGCUAGCAAAUCCCAUAAACCGUGGCUCAGUUCAGAUCGUAGGCUGCAACUCGCCUACGUGAAGUAGGAAUCGCUAGUAAUCGCAGGUCAGCAUACUGCGGUGAAUACGUUCCCGGGCCUUGUACACACCGCCCGUCACACCAUGGAAGUUGGCCAUGCCCGAAGUCGUUACUCCAACCCUUGUGGAGGAGGACGCCGAAGGUGGGGCUAAUGACUGGGGUGAAGUCGUAACAAGGUAGCCGUA